CAAGUCGAGCGGUAGAGAGAAGCUUGCUUCUCUUGAGAGCGGCGGACGGGUGAGUAAUGCCUAGGAAUCUGCCUGGUAGUGGGGGAUAACGUUCGGAAACGGACGCUAAUACCGCAUACGUCCUACGGGAGAAAGCAGGGGACCUUCGGGCCUUGCGCUAUCAGAUGAGCCUAGGUCGGAUUAGCUAGUUGGUGAGGUAAUGGCUCACCAAGGCGACGAUCCGUAACUGGUCUGAGAGGAUGAUCAGUCACACUGGAACUGAGACACGGUCCAGACUCCUACGGGAGGCAGCAGUGGGGAAUAUUGGACAAUGGGCGAAAGCCUGAUCCAGCCAUGCCGCGUGUGUGAAGAAGGUCUUCGGAUUGUAAAGCACUUUAAGUUGGGAGGAAGGGUUGUAGAUUAAUACUCUGCAAUUUUGACGUUACCGACAGAAUAAGCACCGGCUAACUCUGUGCCAGCAGCCGCGGUAAUACAGAGGGUGCAAGCGUUAAUCGGAAUUACUGGGCGUAAAGCGCGCGUAGGUGGUUUGUUAAGUUGGAUGUGAAAUCCCCGGGCUCAACCUGGGAACUGCAUUCAAAACUGACUGACUAGAGU
rnacentral:rRNA from 2 species